ensembl:ncRNA C04C11.16 ncRNA
AUACACACACAGACAACACGCCUAUGCAGUAUGCCAAAAAAAAGUGAUUGAAAGGACGAGGGGGGGGGGGGCGACCCCGCAGAGUGAGCGGGGUUACGUCGGCUACGCACUUUUGAUUAGCUAUCCCCCUCAUCUUUCUCUC